GACGAACGCUGGCGGCGUGCUUAACACAUGCAAGUCGAACGGAAAGGCCCUGCUUUUGUGGGGUGCUCGAGUGGCGAAAGGGUGAGUAACACGUGAGUAACCUGCCCUUGACUUUGGGAUAACUUCAGGAAACUGGGGCUAAUACCGGAUAGGAGCUCCUGCUGCAUGGUGGGUGUUGGAAAGUUUCGGCGGUUGGGGAUGGACUCGCGGCUUAUCAGCGUGUUGGUGGGGUAGUGGCUUACCAAGGCUUUGACGGGUAGCCGGCCUGAGAGGGUGACCGGCCACAUUGGGACUGAGAUACGGCCCAGACUCCUACGGGAGGCAGCAGUGGGGAAUAUUGCACAAUGGGCGGAAGCCUGAUGCAGCAACGCCGCGUGCGGGAUGACGGCCUUCGGGUUGUAAACCGCUUUCGCCUGUGACGAAGCGUGAGUGACGGUAAUGGGUAAAGAAGCACCGGCUAACUACGUG
rnacentral:rRNA from 1 species